AUGGGCAGCAGCCUGAGCCAGCAGCUGUGCUGUGUGCCCUGCCAGAGGUGCAGGGAGCAGGAGGCAGAGCCCGCAGAGACCAAGCCCAUCCUGCAGAGCCCCGGGGACACACGGAUGUUCUUGGAUACACAGCCCGCCACCCCAGCUCUGAAAGUCCCCAAACAGGCCUCCAAGGACCUGAGCCAGCACCAGCAGCCCUCAAACAAUGCUCUGGAGGAGAACAGAGAGCCCUGCUCUGCUGCAGAAGGGUGGGAGGCAGCCUGGAAUCCCAUGGACUUCUUUGUGGCCCAUGAUGAUGAGGAGGCUGAAGGAGAAGUUGAAGACUCAACCCAGGAGGAAGCAGAAGAGGAAAUGAAACCUGUUCCUGCUGUUCCUGUGGCAGAGGAGGAGCAGCCUGGCACAGAGGGAGCCCUGUGUGCUGGGAUAACCCUACAGGAGGGAAAUAUUUUCAGCCUCGUGGAGCUCUCAAGUGAAGCUGAGCCUGGCCAAGGCUGUGGGACAGAAGCUCCUGCAGGCACCACGGGGGCUCUGGUGGGCAGGGAGAUGUUGCUGUGUGCUGUGCAGGUGGCAGGGCAGGCUGAGCCCUGUCUGUGUGCUGAGCCCCUGCAGGGCACAGACAGGGCUAAAGCUGCUGAGAUGAGCCUUCAAUCCACCCAAAGGGCAGAGCUCACCUGCCUGGUGGAAGUGAUGCCUCUCCUGACCCUGCAGAGCGCUUUGGAGGUCAUUGCAAGGGGGCUGCCGGAGCUCUACGCCACUUCUGCCGAGUCCUGGGAGCCGCUGUGCCCGCAGUGGGGGUCCCUGGAGCCACCAGGCCGGCUGCUGGAGCUCUUCCAGCAGGGCACACACGGCAGCCUGGCCCCUGCCCAGGGCGUGGGGAGCCUGUGCUGCACAGGGCUUGCAGGACUGAGUGAGAUCUUGCAGCAGCCUCAGGAUGGAGACCUGUGUGAGCUGGGACAGGAGGGGAGCAGGGGGUGCACCCCAGGACCUGAGGCAGAGCCGCAGCACGGAGUCACUCAGCCGGCACUGGAGUUCCCAAAAGAACCAGCAGAUUUUGUUCCUGUGCCUGUAAAGCAAGAGGCUGAGCCCCCACACGUGUCCCCCUCACUGCCUGAAGUGCUUGGGAACAGUGGGGAAAGAGAGGCUGAAAAUAUUGAAGUUUGA
rnacentral:lncRNA from 1 species